GGAGGUAUAGCUCAAGUGGUAGAGCGCAUGCUUAGCAUACACAAGGUCCUGGGCUCAAUCCCCAGUGCCGCCC
rnacentral:tRNA from 1 species